GCCGAGGUGGCGGAAUUGGCAGACGCGCUAGACUAAGGAUCUAGUUCCCGAUAAGGGAGUAAGGGUUCAAGUCCCUUCCUCGGCACCA
rnacentral:tRNA from 1 species